UUCCGUUACGCUCAACAACAGAGACCUUGCCCUAGUGCUUCGAUUGUUUCUUCUUCAUCCUCAUCAUUGUCGCACUGUACACUAGACGCCUCCUUCUUUGAUGUAUCCUACAGGUCGGUGAACUUGCAGUCCUAGGUUCUCUACGGUGGGCACGAGUCAGAACUGGAAGCAAGAAUCAGAAAGAGAAUCAUGUCUUUCAUGAAUCUCUCUGAAGCUGAGUACACCCUGGUUUUCAUUGCCAAUGAGCAGCGAGGCAUUGGAUGUGAUGAUUGAGAGUUUUAGGAAGCAAGGGGUGUGUGUCUUGUCAUCAGAUUUCUCCUGGCCCAAUCUUGUAAUCCAGAGGAGGAAGCUAAACAAGAAUCAAA
rnacentral:sRNA from 1 species